UCUCAGUAUCAUAAAUAAAAGUCUUCAUUUACAUUUUUGCACUUAGAUCUUUGGAAACUUGUCCAAUUACUUACUGGGAAUCCAUCCCUAGACUGAAUCAGAUGCUAUGCUCUUUUUAAAAGAAUUUUGAUACAUAAUGCCAAGUUGCUCUCUAAAAAGAUGUACUACUUUAAAUUGUCAGCAGUAUUUCCCCAAACCCCUGCCAAGACUAUUUUCAUUCUUUCUUUCCCCAUCAGGUUGGAGGAUUUUUUUUUUGUUUUAAUUUUUUAUUGUCUUACCAGGAAGGUUAAAAAUCUUUGAUUAUUGGUCAUUUUUUAUUUUCCCACUAUGAAUUUGUGGUUUCUAUAUUGGUUUGAAGGAGCUUUUUAUAUAUUAAAAUCUUUUUAGUUUCUAAUUUUAUUAUAUUUUAAUUUAAUUAAUUUUAUUAAAUACCUAAGUGUACCACACUACAUUUUGCACUAUUCACCGUGUGUGUGUAUGUGUGUUGAAUAUUUAACUAUGACUUUUGUUCUGGGAUCUCAGUUAUAAAAUCCUUCAUUACACACCCUCAAGUCAUAAAAAUAUUCUUUUUUAUUCAUGCCAACAUACUUAUAAUUUAAUUUUACAUUUAAAAGAUUCAAUUUAUCUCAAUUAUUUUCCAACUGGAACCUAAUAUGUGUUUCUCCUCUGGGCUCUGUGAUUCAAUUAAUUGCUCAUUACCCAAAUCAGUAAUGUAUAUAUUAAACAAAAUGUGUCAAUUUUUAAAUACCAGUUGUUCUCUAAGAUGUAAAGUAAUGGAUUUCUUCUAAUUGUUACAUUGUCUUUAAAAGUUACCAGGGGCUACCACAGUGGAUGCAAUAAUGACUACAUUUGACUUCCAGAUGGGAAACGAAUGAGACACAGAAAGAGUGAGGAUGAACAUUUUCUCCAAGCACGUGAAAGAUGAGAAUCCCCAGCUGUACAUUUCCCCUAAUUCUGAAGGGCUGAAUAGUACAGCUAGGAAACAGGUUCAAAGUAGCAGGCCAGCCACCAGCGUCCACCAGGAUGUGCUGGGCUGUGCUCCGAGCCACCUCUAAGCCACGCUGUAACAUUCACCAGGAUUCCUGCCGCGGGCUGCUUUUGCUGGAAUGACCAGAGGAGGCGUCAGCAAGCCUAACACUCUCCUACCCUCCUGCCCCUUCUUUGGCUCCUGAGAGUAGGCAGCCAUUCCACUGACCUUAGGCAGGACUCAGCUUCCAAGACAAGAGAACUGACCAAGAGGAGACAGUGCCAAGUUCACGAGUAAAGAGUUAAAUUCUUCAAGUUUCUGAAAGGAUCCGAGAAGCUGCUGAACAACCCGCUCUGUAUUCCAUCCUGGAGGACUACAAGACUGGCCCUUCUCUGCAUUAGGUGGUUAGUGCCUCAUUCCCACCCGGCAAGCUUCUUUCUACAUUCUUGUGUGACUGCGAUCUGACCAUCAAAUCUAUAUAGCACAUUGCCUUUACCUGCAAAGUAUGGACUUUAAUCCUACUAAAACACACAAUGAAAUAGUAAAAUUUUUGACUUGAUGGUUGCCCAGAGAUUGAGUGAUCAAAUAUCCUCAUAUACUGCUAGAAACUCAGAUUGAGGAGAAAAUAAAUCAGCAUUCAUGCGAUAUUCAGAGUGCGCUACACAUUUAUAAUAGAAAACAGUGGACAUGACUUUCUUCCCGAAGAGUGCUGAUUCUCAAGGUAACUGAGGCACAAACUGUAUGCAGUAGAAAAGGGAUUUAACAUGAGGAUCCUCCCUUGCAAGGCACUGCAGUACUUGAAAUAUAAUCUCUUUAUUGUUUCAAAAGGUCAAUAGACAUUUAAAAUGUCAACAAUGUUCUGUUUCUUUUGUACUUGCAAUGUACCCAAGAUGCUGGGCAUAGUUCAUUUGAGCACAUAAGCUCAUGCCUCUCCCAUAACAGGCAUUUGAUUAAGUAUUUGCUGGAAAAAGGAGUAAACAGUAGUCUAUUUUCUGCUUCCUGUAACGCAGUACCACAGAAUGGGUGAGUUUUAAAGAAAAGGGAUUUAUUUUGGUCGAUGGUUCUGCUUUGGGUUGAGGUGCAGCUCUCUGGUGAUGGCUUUCUUACUGGCAGUGUAGAAGGUGGUGAAGUAAACAUGUCACGUGGUGAGAGACAGCGAAUGAGCAAGAGACCCAGCCAAACUGGUUUUUACAGGAGACUCUCUCAAAAUUACCAGAUAAGCUGAUUAGUCCUUUCAUGAAGGCAGAGAGCUCUUAUCUCUUCUUGAACAUCACUCUCAGUACUUCAUAAAGGAGAUUAAAUUUUAACAUGAAUUUCAGGGGGCUGAACUGUAUUCAAUCCACAGCAAUAAUUAAAAACCAAACCCAUCACUAUUUUUAUUAUUUUAGUUCUGUUCUUUGAUUUGCUCACUCAUUCAUUCAUUCAUUCAUUCAUUCAACAAACAGGUACUAUCUCUAGUUGACAAGCACCAUAAAAGAUGCUGAAAAGCCAACUGUUGUGGUGGAUACAUUGUUGAUACAUUGAUACCUCAGAAGUUGUGAGGUUUAACUAAGAGACUCAGCAGGAAGCCAGGGUUCUUACUUUGUAAAUAUCCUCAUCCUGUGCAAGAGGAGGGCAAGGAGAUUUUGUGAGUGCUAUACCAGCCCUGGAUGCCAGAAUGGGGCAGUCUGUGUACAAAAUAAGGGAAGAACAGAGACUUGCUCUUCCCUGUUCUGCUCUGGCUGUUUUUGCUGGCUACCACCUUGGAGUGUUGCCCCAGUGCCAUACCAACCUGCCUUAGAGCCAGCUGGUUAUGGACUGAAACCUCCACAAACUGUAAGCUAAAUAAACCUUUCCUUCUUUCA